rnacentral:lncRNA from 1 species
AUGUCCCCGCCAGGACUGCUGCAUCUGCUCCUUCUUCCGCCUGGAAUGCUCUUCCUUCAGGUAAUCCCAUGGCCUUCUCCCUCGCUUUCUCCAGCUGUCUGCGCGAUCGUCACCUUUCAGAUAGACCUGCCUUUGCCUUUGUUACCCCGAGGAAAACAGAAACAUCCUCACCCCAUGCCCCUUCCCCUGAUCCAGCCUUUUCUGUCUACAUUGCACCUGCCACCUUUGAUGUGCUCUAAUGUGUUUACCGAGCACCUCUAUGAAAGGAGAGGCUCUGUCAGUUCUGUCCUGUCCGAAACUCCUAGAACAGUACUCAGAAAACACUUGCUGAGCCAUCGGAAGAGCAAUCUCGCCCUGACCAAUCAUCACUCAUAAUCCUUUCCGACCCCUCCCACCGCCUCCGGGAGCCAAUCCCUUGCCCCGUUGCCGUCAGCCCCAGCUAGAGGUGACCAUAUAGAAACGAAGGGGUGAACUUGGAGUAGGUAGAAAGAAGGCUGCAUCCUGGUAUUCAGUGUGUACUCGUGCUCGAAUGCUCCGGGAAGACGGAGAGGAUACAAUGGGGAUGGACCCAGCGGCUCCAUGAGAGCCUCCUCCGGGAACUGUGGUUAACGCCCUCCGCAGUGUACGUGAACCCUCAGUAUUGGAACACGAUGGAUUAUUCCAGAACGACCGCCUCCUACCCUCUAAUGGUACCUUCCGAGUGAAUGGUCUUACCUCCGGCCCUGUCAGUGGUACGUCCCAUGACAGAUGUUCCAUCUCGCGCGCCCCUUGGUGGUGUCAUCGGGGAACAGCCGAUGCAGAUGUUAGUGGACUAUUCCAGGGUGGUCCCCAAAGGGAGGGAGGGCAAAGUUAGGAUUAAAACCUCACAAUUCGCUGGAGUCUUGGACCCGGCAAAAAGUCUUGCUAAACAGAAAUGUACUUCUUUGUAGUGGCACCAAGCGUUUUCUCUGUGCUGGGCAUUGGGCUUGCUUGCGCCUCCCUGGGUAAUAUAGAAUAGGUGUAGUGCGGCAAGCCAGCCAGGGUUCCUCAAGGGGCAGGGGGGAGAAAGGUCCCGACGGGUCUCUGAUGUCCUGGUGAGGGGCAGGCCUCUGUCCUUGACUGUGAGUACUAGGGGAAAAAGAGAGCAGGACCUUUGGUUCUGUUAGGAAAAAGGCCCUCUUGGAGUUCCCGU